rnacentral:rRNA from 1 species
UACGUAGGGGGCAAGCGUUGUCCGGAAUUAUUGGGCGUAAAGAGCGCGUAGGCGGUCCGAUAAGUCGGCUGUGAAAGUCCAGGGCUCAACCCUGGAAAGCCGGCCGAUACUGUCGGACUAGAGUCCGGAAGAGGCAAGUGGAAUUCCCGGUGUAGCGGUGAAAUGCGCAGAUAUCGGGAGGAACACCAAUUGCGAAGGCAGCUUGCUGGGCCAACACUGACGCUCAUGCACGAAAGCGUGGGGAGCAAACAGG